AUUGAACGCUGGCGGCAGGCUUAACACAUGCAAGUCGAGCGAGCGGCGGACGGGUGAGUAAUGUCUGGGAACCUGCCUGAUGGAGGGGGAUAACCACUGGAAACGGUAGCUAAUACCGCAUACCAUCAGAUGUGCCCAUAUGGGAUUAGCUAGUAGGUGGGGUAAAGGCUCACCAAGGCGACGAUCCGUAGCUGGUCUGAGAGGAUGACCAGCCACACUGGAACUGAGACACGGUCCAGAAUCCUACGGGAGGCAGCAGUGGGGAAUAUUGCACAAUGGGCGCAAGCCUGAUGCAGCCAUGCCGCGGGGGUGAAGAAGGCCUUCGGGUUGUAAAGCAAUUUCAGUGAGGAGGCGUUACUCGCAGAAGAAGCACCGGCUAACUCCGUGCCAGCAGCCGCGGUAAUAC
rnacentral:rRNA from 1 species